rnacentral:lncRNA from 1 species
GUGAAGCCCAUGCAAGUGUUGCCACUAGCAUUGAAAUUAGGAUCACCUGCGGAGAAUUGAGAAAAAUUGGUUCAGACCACUUUUUAUGUGACUUAAUUAAAGGAGAUAAUUGAUACCUGGAAACAUCUCAAUAGAUGCGAUUGAGAAAAGAAGCAGAAGACCUAAAACGGAAGCCUUCAUUUCGUGACCGGAACUAUUUUGCGACUAAACUACUGUUAUCAAAGUUAAACUCAAGAGGAUAGAUUUACACGCCACACCUCGACUGAACCAAGGAAAAUGUCUUACAACAAUCACUUUGAGCUGUCCAUUAGGUUUUAUACCUUCCGCAACAUCAGCUUUCGUUAAAUUACCUCGAUUAUACACUCCUUUCUCCUUAAGCGACGGAAUUCCCGAAUAUUAGCAACACGUGCAAGAGGUGCAAGGCUAUAUUCGAACCAUGAAUUGAUGGAAUCCAGAAAUACCUUGGGAAGCCACUUGCACAAGUAAAAAACUGCAAGUCACUAACUGGGAACCGCUGACUACGUGAGGAAUCUUGCAAGGUGGGAAUCCAGAGCCCCAAACGACGUUCGAAGGACGUCUAACUCCGGCUAGAGAAGAUUGAGAAGAGAAUAACACUUCAAGGUUAUACUAUCCACUUGAUUUACACGCACCCAAGUUGUGGGUCAACUCUGCGUCAGUAACUUAUUUGGCUCGCAGAACAAAUUAGCAUAAAGAUACAGUAUGGCAUGUUGAAAGACUUAGAAAUAGCUACCAGCACUUUCCUGUUAUCGUUUGAUUGACAAUUAUAUUUGUUGCGUAUUGUACUUUGUUAUGGUCUUUAUUUGUUUGAACGUUGUUAUUCUUGAAAUUUUAAUGCCGCUUAACGUUUCUUCCACAGAUCGCUGCUGGGAGAAAUAAGAAAACAUAUUUCUUAGAAGCAAAACCUCACAGAGCAGAGCCUCACGAGGACACGCUGGCAUGAAAAUCCAUCCGGUUCAGGCUGUUUAACGGAUGGGAACUCCGGCGAAGUGUUCAUCUUGAUCACAUCAGUGUUUAUUUCGAUGUGGUGCUCGAGUGACGUUCGGAGUCAAAGCCACUUCUUUGUAGAGCUUCAAAACAGAUCAAUUAUUGGCGCUGUUGCGACGGAAGAAGAUGACAUCCUUCAUCUCCAGGUUCACUGAUUCAUAAAGUCGCCAAGAAGAGGACGAGCUGCCGUGUCGAUUGUUCGAGGCCGGCCUCUAAACGUUGGACUAGGGUAGCAGUCGGUUAUCCAAUCAUCCGGCACUUUAUCCAGCUGUCUUUUGAACACGGUGGCCAUCAAUUUCGCAUUAAUAGCAACGGCAACUCUAUUGAUUGACUUCCGUGUUUCCCUCCUGUUAACCUAACCUUCCAUUUUCCUUAUUUCACUAAAUUUUCCCGUUAAACAGCUUCAAUUUAUUCUUGUCGUCACUGCUGAGUCUCUAAUUAAUUAUUACAUUUCAAUGUGAAUAUGACGUUGCCAUCCGUCUCUACGACGGCAUAUUAAUUUGCAAUAAAGGUUAGACAUAACUGA